rnacentral:rRNA from 1 species
UACAGAGGUCCCAAGCGUUGUUCGGAUUCACUGGGCGUAAAGGGUGCGUAGGCGGUCGGGUAAGUCUGAUGUGAAAUCUCACAGCUUAACUGUGAAACUGCAUUGGAUACUAUUCGGCUUGAGAGUUGGAGGGGGGACUGGAAUUCUUGGUGUAGCAGUGAAGUGCGUAGAUAUCAAGAGGAACACCAGUGGCGAAGGCGAGUCCCUGGACAACUUCUGACGCUGAGGCACGAAAGCUAGGGGAGCAAACAGG